UACGGAGGGAGCUAGCGUUAUUCGGAAUUACUGGGCGUAAAGCGCACGUAGGCGGCUUUGUAAGUAAGAGGUGAAAGCCCAGAGCUCAACUCUGGAAUUGCCUUUUAGACUGCAUCGCUUGAAUCAUGGAGAGGUCAGUGGAAUUCCGAGUGUAGAGGUGAAAUUCGUAGAUAUUCGUAAGAACACCAGUGGCGAAGGCGACUUUCUGGCUCGAUACUGACGCUAAGGCGCGAAAGCGUGGGGAGCAAACAGG
rnacentral:rRNA from 1 species